rnacentral:rRNA from 1 species
AAAACGUAGGGCCCGAGCGUUGUCCGGAAUCACUGGGUGUAAAGGGUGCGUAGGCGGGCGCGUGCGUCCGGGGUGAAAGGCUCCGGCUCAACCGGAGACAUGCCUCGGAUACGGCGCGUCUUGGGUGCGGGAGAGGGCGAUGGAAUUCCUGGUGUAGCGGUGAAAUGCGUAGAUAUCAGGAGGAACACCAGUGGCGAAGGCGGUCGCCUGGCCCGCAACCGACGCUGAGGCACGAAAGCGUGGGGAGCAAACCGGAUUAGAUACCCGGGUAGUCCACGCCCUAAACGAUGCGCGCUUGCUGUUGGGCUGCCUUCGGGCGGCUCAGUGGCGGAGGUAACCCGUUAAGCGCGCCACCUGGGGAGUACGCUCGCAAGGGUCGAAUU